rnacentral:lncRNA from 1 species
CCAGCAAAGUUUGCAGCAUAUAUGGGAGAAGGAGUUUGAGCAGUGGAUUCUCCCAGCUUGGGCUGGUGUAACAAGUUCAUCAGCUGGUCAUAAUCAUGUUUGCUCAACCCUGGAAUCACAGAGCUGUGACCAUCUAAGCUUGUAGCAGACUGAUGGUUAGCAGAAGGAUUUCCUUGAGGAACAGACAACAGUCCAUCAGAAAUAGGAGAAUCCAGACCAGUACUCAGAUGGGCAGCAGCAGGCCUCCUUCCUUUGUUAAAUGUGGGACUUUGUGGAUACCCAUAUAUCUUGAAGCACUUAUCAAUUAAGUAUCCAGACUUUUUACAGUAUCGACAAAAUAAAGGUCCCUUGGUUUGAUCAAAACUGACUCUCUGUCUAAAAGGAGGAGGGGGAACAGACACUGUGGCCU